rnacentral:misc_RNA from 1 species
GAUGAAGAACGCAGCGAAAUGCGAUAAGUAGUGUGAAUUGCAGAAUUCAGUGAAUCAUCGAAUCUUUGAACGCGCAUUGCGCCCCUUGGUGUUCCAUGGGGCAUGCCUGUUCGAGCGUCAUUUGUACCUUCAAGCCUUGCUUGGUGUUGGGUGUUUGUCUCGCCUCUGCGCGCAGACUCGCCUCAAAACAAUUGGCAGCCGGCGUAUUGAUUUCGGAGCGCAGUACAUCUCGCGCUUUGCACUCAGAACGACGACGUCCAAAAGUACAUUUUUACACUCUUGACCUCGGAUCAGGUAGGGAUACCCGCUGAACUUAAGCAUAUCAAUAAGCGGAGGA